GACGAACGCUGGCGGCGUGCCUAACACAUGCAAGUCGAGCGAAUGAAGUUCCUUCGGGAAUGGAUUUAGCGGCGGACGGGUGAGUAACACGUGGGCAACCUGCCUCAUAGAGGGGAAUAGCCUUCCGAAAGGGAGAUUAAUACCGCAUAAGAUUGUAGUACCGCAUGGUACAGCAAUUAAAGGAGCAAUCCGCUAUGAGAUGGGCCCGCGGCGCAUUAGCUAGUUGGUGAGGUAACGGCUCACCAAGGCGACGAUGCGUAGCCGACCUGGGAGGGUGAUCGGCCACAUUGGGACUUAGACACGGCCCAGACUCCUACGGGAGGCAGCAGUGGGGAAUAUUGCACAAUGGGGGAAACCCUGAUGCAGCAACGCCGCGUGAGUGAUGACGGCCUUCGGGUUGUAAAGCUCUGUCUUCAGGGACGAUAAUGACGGUACCUGAGGAGGAAGCCACGGCUAACUACGUGCCAGCCGCCGCCGUAA
rnacentral:rRNA from 1 species